rfam:Burkholderiales bacterium RIFCSPHIGHO2_12_FTLL_61_11 rifcsphigho2_12_scaffold_27241, whole genome shotgun sequence.
GCCCGGGUGGUGAAAUUGGUAGACGCAGGGGACUCAAAAUCCCCCGCCGAAAGGCGUGCCGGUUCGAUUCCGGCCCCGGGCA